AAGUCAAGGUCCAAGUCAGGAACUAGACUCUCAAUGGAUUGUUCAAUAAAAUUAUCCAAUGUUGCUCCUGAAUGAAAACUUUCACCAUCACUACCACCAUCCUGCAAAGAAUAAAUCAUGUAUACAGAUACUCCAUUUGUUCCAAAUAUGUCAAAAGUGGAAGGUGUAUUCAGUGCAGUCAAGGUACAUGUAUCACGACCAUCCCGAAACAUCGCAGAAUGGCAGUUCAAGUAUUCAACGGUUUCAUCCAUGACAUAAGUCCGUUCUUCUUUUCUCAGCAAUUCCGUAAGUCCUGCGAUAUACUUCAUGGCCAAUCGCAAGGUGGUGAUCUUCGUCAGCUUCUCGUUUGGUCCAUCACCCUACGUCAUUAUAGUAAUCCGGUCAGUGAGCCAAGCGUUCGGACCAAUUCCAUUUCCGCAUCAUCUACCGUAAUACCCAAGCAAGAAUUCUCCUUAGGGGAUAUUUACAAGCCCGUGUGUAUUAUAUAAUUUUGAUUGGAGUAAAAUGAGAACAUUUAAGUAAUGAGAUGUAAAUAUACAGGAGUAUAUAUAAGCAUGGGACGAAGAAAAAAAAUUAAGGAAACAUGAAGCAGUAAACUUUAAAAAUUCUUACAGAUCUCUCUCGUGCAUUCGCUGUUUUUCUUCUGUACUUGCUGAGUGGCGCAGUCCGUUGUUUUGAAGCUGAUUUGUUCUCGAUUUGACCCACUCGCUGCUCUGAGGAUUUCGUAGAGUUUGACGGAUCAGAGUCUUCCCCGUCAGGCACAAUCUUUGAUUUUCUGCGAUCAACACCGCGUGGUCGUCUUUCAAGGACUGAUACAACUUGAGUGCAGCCGCCGCAAGAUAAUCUCCGAGAAAUUUCAGUGGGAGAACCAGUUUCCUCUCUUUGGCGAGUAAGCCUCGAAGAAAUCGUGAUUUAACUUAGUCGAUUAUUCCCGC